rnacentral:rRNA from 1 species
GAUGAACGCUAGCUACAGGCUUAACACAUGCAAGUCGAGGGACCGGCGCACGGGUGAGUAACACGUAUCCAACCUGCCCUUUACUCGGGGAUAGCCUUUCGAAAGAAAGAUUAAUACCCGAUAUAAAGGAUGGGGAUGCGUUCCAUUAGGUUGUUGGUGAGGUAACGGCUCACCAAGCCUUCGAUGGAUAGGGGUUCUGAGAGGAAGUGCCCCCACGUGGGGACUGGGAAACGUGCCAAACUCCUACGGGAGGCAGCAGUGAGGGAUAUUGGUCAAUGGGAGCUAGCCUGAAGCAUCCAAGUAGCGUGAAGGAUGAAGGCUUAUGGGUCGUAAACUUCUUUUAGAUAAGAAUAUGUAUUAUAUGAAUAAGGAUCGGCUAACUCCGUGCCAGCAGCCGCGGUAAUAC